UGGGGAAUAUUGCACAAUGGGCGCAAGCCUGAUGCAGCAACGCCGCGUGAGGGACGACGGCCUUCGGGUUGUAAACCUCUUUUAGUAGGGAAGAAGCGAAAGUGACGGUACCCGCAGAAAAAAGCACCGGCUAACUACGUGCCAGCAGCCGCGGUAAUACGUAGGGUGCGAGCGUUGUCCGGAAUUAUUGGGCGUAAAGAGCUCGUAGGCGGUCUGUCGCGUCUGCUGUGAAAACCCGAGGCUCAACCUCGGGCCUGCAGUGGGUACGGGCAGACUAGAGUGCGGUAGGGGAGAAUGGAAUUCCUGGUGUAGCGGUGGAAUGCGCAGAUAUCAGGAGGAACACCGAUGGCGAAGGCAGUUCUCUGGGCCGUAACUGACGCUGAGGAGCGAAAGCGUGGGGAGCGAACAGGAUUAGAUACCCUGGUAGUCCACGCCGUAAACGUUGGGCGCUAGAUGUGGGGACCAUUCCACGGUUUCCGUGUCGCAGCUAACGCAUUAAGCGCCCCGCCUGGGGAGUACGGCCGCAAGGCU
rnacentral:rRNA from 1 species